UUGUGGGCAAUAUGUGUGGGAUGUGGGUGACCUUUGGACUGAUUGUUCAAGGUUCGAGUAUUUUACGAAAAUCGAAAUGCGUUUUUCGACGAAAUCAGCCGACGAAACGUGUUUUCGGUUCGGAUUCCUUCCGACGGUGCCUCAUUGUAAAUUGUUUUGUCGCUGAGCCUUAUUGGCUGGUCAGUCAUGUCAUUUUGAGGGUUCGGAGACGACGAGUGAGCGACGGUGGGUUCUGGUGUCGAAAUUGACGCUUUCAGGAACCCGGAUCGGAACGGUUAUCCGACGAUAAUCGUUUCAAUGUGAGGUUACAUCUUUGCUG
rnacentral:lncRNA from 1 species